rnacentral:rRNA from 1 species
UGCUCCCUACGGGGGGCAGCAGUGGGGAAUAUUGCACAAUGGGGGAAACCCUGAUGCAGCAACGCCGCGUGAGUGAAGAAGUCAUUCGUGAUGUAAAGCUCUAUCAGCAGGGAAGAAAAUGACGGUACCUGAGUAAGAAGCCCCGGCUAACUACGUGCCAGCAGCCGCGGUAAUACGUAGGGGGCAAGCGUUAUCCGGAUUUAUUGGGUUUAAAGGGUGCGCAGGCGGCACGGCAAGCCGGCGGUCAAAUCGCGGGGCUCAACCCCGCCCAGCCGUCGGAACUGCCGGGCUAGAGUGGGC